AGUGAACGCUGGCGGUAGGCCUAACACAUGCAAGUCGAACGGCGGCACAGUAAGAGCUUGCUCUUACGGGUGGCGAGUGGCGGACGGGUGAGGAAUACAUCGGAAUCUACUUUUUCGUGGGGGAUAACGUAGGGAAACUUACGCUAAUACCGCAUACGACCUACGGGUGAAAGCAGGGGAUCUUCGGACCUUGCGCGAUUGAAUGAGCCGAUGUCGGAUUAGCUAGUUGGCGGGGUAAAGGCCCACCAAGGCGACGAUCCGUAGCUGGUCUGAGAGGAUGAUCAGCCACACUGGAACUGAGACACGGUCCAGACUCCUACGGGAGGCAGCAGUGGGGAAUAUUGGACAAUGAGCGCAAGCCUGAUCCAGCCAUACCGCGUGGGUGAAGAAGGCCUUCGGGUUGUAAAGCCCUUUUGUUGGGAAAGAAAAGCAGCAGGUUAAUACCCCGCUGUUCUGACGGUACCCAAAGAAUAAGCACCGGCUAACUUCGUG
rnacentral:rRNA from 1 species